rnacentral:misc_RNA from 1 species
GAACCUAUCUCGAUCUCCUCUUUUUUUUGAGGGAUUGAGGAACUGAGUGAAUUCGGUUCAUAAUUUUGAAUCGGAUCACUUGAAAUGAGGGUGCUUCAAUCUCCCCUUGGGUUCGUACUCCUUGGCCUCAAAGCAUAUCUAUUUAGUCCCGUCAAAAGGAUUAUUGCUCUUUGCUGAAAGUGCUAAAGGGAGCCUAAGAAGGGGGUUUGCCUCGAAUACAGGAACUCUAAUCAUAA